AGCCUUUUAUUUUCCACCACAAAGCCAUUAACAUAAGCUAGUGAAGAAAUAUAUUAGACAUCAUGUCUGAAGCACUGUUAAAUAUAUUGAAAAAUAUUUUGAAAACACUUGAUGGGCACGUGCUGAACUGGAGCGGAGGAAGUCACCAUGGAAACGGGGCACAGCUCAACCGUCAAACAGCUGAACGGAUGCUGUCUCUAAUGGUUGUUUUCACUAAUUUCAGAAAUGGUCAGUGUCUUCAGAAAAAGUCUGUUAGCAUCUCAUCUGUAAUGCUAACUACAAGAGAUUCUUCCAUGCUGAUGGCCGUGCGUGGAUCCAGCUGAAGAACAUUUUUAGACAUUAUGAAACAUAUUACUAAGACUGAAAAUCAUUGAUAAAUCACAAGAGUUUUGCUCCAACCCCAGUUAAGCAGACCUGAGCAGCUGCUCAAGGUUCAGCAGAAACUCUGCAGAACGGUGGUCCUCCAGCCCAGGACUGGACACCAGUGUUAUGCUGGAGAAAAAACUGCGAGGCUAAAGCAUUCAAAGUGGAAACAUCUACCGUGGUUCAUUAAUCCAGAAUUGGGAUGGAGGAAGGAGCAGAAGAAGCAGAAGAACAGAGAUUAGGAAGAGAUCUACUGGUGCCCUGUGGGAACCCAUUUACCUAUGUGUUAGUUAAACCAAAGAUUUUCUUCACUCACCUUCAUGUUGUUCCAAGCCAGACUUUUGUUCAUCUUUGAAACAUAAAUGCAGAACUUUUUGAUGAAAUCUGAGAUUUUUUUAUAUUUAUAAAAUAAUGCAUUCAAAAGAGCACCAUGAUGCAUCAGUGUUGCAUUGGCGUGAGAGCUGGCCAUCUCAGGUGCUUUUGUGAAAAUCCAUUGGGGAUUCAUAAUUUCUGAAUACUUUUUUUUUUGCUGGUUUUUUUUUUGCAUACACAAGGCAUCUGUUAAAAAAAUAUCUUAAUUUGUGUUCUGCACAAAAGGGUGUUAUGGGUUUGGGGCAAAAUGAGGGUAAGUAAUUAAUGACAGAGUUAAAAUUUUUGGUUGUUCUAAUGUGGUUAUAAUUGGUCAUAGUUUAUUGUCUUGAAAAAUUAUAUUUAUACAGAAAGAUGGAUUCAUUUGAUAAGUUUAUAGUAAAGACUUUUAAAUUGAUAAAAAAAAAAUCAAAAAUAAAUACUACUCUUUUGCAAGAUCUAUUAAAAAAAUACUGAUAAAUGUAAUGGUUUCCACAAAAUAUUGGGCAGCACAACUGUUUUAAACAUUGAUAAUAAUCAGAAAUGUUUCUUGAGCAGCAAAUCAGUAUAGUAUAAUUAUUUCUGAAGAUCAUGUAACACUGAAGACUGGAGUAAUUGUCUAAAAAAUUCAGUUUACAGGCAUAAAUUACAUUUUACAAUGCAUCCACAUAGAAAACAAUUAUUUCUGUAGUUAUAUUUCACAAUAUUACUGUUUUUACGGUCUGUUUAAUCAAAGGAGGCUUAAGAUGUGAUCAAGAAUUUACAUGAAAGAUGUGUCAAUAAAUGUGUCAAUAUAC